GGAACUGCUCAUGAUUUAGUCUGGUAUCGUAGGCUCUCGGUGUAUGUGGCCAUAGUCUUUAGAUUUAUUCCCACUGUAGGCCGUGAACAUGGGCUGCUGCUUUAGUAAGGAGCUCAACCCCGGCCUAACUGAGACCAGCAGUCUGUUACAGCCCCCGCUCCACGAUGGUCUGAACGAGGUGACAGAGCGGGUCAAGCAGCACGCUGAGGCUGUAGCUCAGCAUGUGUGCUUAGAGGAAGGGAAGACAUGUGCGCUGGACGAUUGGGCCCCGAGGAAGCCUCUGGAAGAUGAGGAAACAAACCCAGAACUGGACAAUGAAGUUUGUACCAAGGCGGCUGUGCUCAACAGGGACGACUCCACAUGGGCUGAGAGGGACCUUAAACCAGCAAGCUCUCAUGAGGAGGAGGCUAUUAUUAUCACAACCAGCACAAACGCACAUACAAACACGGAUACAGAGGAAGGUGUGGUACACACUGCCCAGCCCAGCUCUGAACCGGAUCCCUAUAUGGACGGGCCCACACAGAUUCCAGUCAGACAAAAGAUCCUGGACAACGCUACACUCAGGGCUUUAUGGUUCAGUCAGAUCCCAGAGGACCACAAGCAGCACAAACCAACAACCUCCUGGUCAUCGCCCUCCAGGUUACCCCCUGCUGUCAGUCUGUGUCAGGGGGGGCAGCAGGAUGCCCCUGAAGCCGAGCACAAGGAUGACAUGGGCGCACAAGUCUCUGUUGUCACAACUCUGUGUCAAAGUUUGCAAACUAGGACCCAGAGCUUCUACAGCAUAUGUUCAAUUGACGACGAUGACCUUGAACAUGACCACGAUCACAGUCAGUCCCAAACAGCUGGAGCAACACGGUCACUGCUCACAGCUGAGGCAGAAACAGCUGCUCUGCCCGACAUACUGGAUUCUCCGGCCCCCUGUCAAUCUAACGGAGAGGCAUCUACAGCCCGUGACAACACACAUGUCACAGAAUCUAAAAUGACCAGCCAGUCACAUGUAGCUGAACAGUCUCCUCUUCAGUCACACACACACUCAGAAGAACAGACCAUCUCAUCUCCUGCCGUUUCUCCACAGCUGCCUGAUCUGCUGCCACCAGCCAGCUGUCAAAUAAACAGCGAGGUGUCCACGUCUCACAGCACUCAGCCCAAAGAUUUGAGCUGUCAGAUGGCUGCAAAGGAUCCAGAGGAAGUGAAGGAUGACCUGGUGAGAGCACGUGUGGACAGUCCGACUGGGGGGCAGUCAGAGGAGAUGACAGCUACAGAGCAGCAGAGGAUUCACAUGGACGACCACGGAAGGGCAGACGCACUCCACAAUGCCCCAGAGGAAACAAAGGCUGAAGAACUUGAUCGCAGUCUGCUUUCUUACUUAAUUCCUCUGGAGGAUCGUUUAUCUGAGUCUGUUCUCAUCACAGAGAAGCACAUUCAAAGUUUAGAACCAGAACCUGAAUCUCCUGAUCCACAAACGUCCCGUCAGAGCCCCUCUCCUUCAAAGCUUGAUCUCACACUAUUUCACAAGGAGGAGGAUGAUUCUUUGGCUCUCGGUGAAGCACUCGUUGAGAUGGAUAAAACCCGACUGCAGACCCAGGCCAUCCCCGUUGGUCCCUGCAGAAGCCACGGUGAUGCCGGUGAUGCCGGUGAUGGCGGCGAUGGCGUCCACAGCAGCACAACAGACACAACUCUAACUGAGGUGUCAUCAGUGUCUAACGUCUCCACUGUCUCGUCACUGCUCACCUUCUCUUGUCACACAAGUCUGAUUCCAUUCCCAGAUUUCAUCAAAACCACAACGCAGCAAAGGGACUCCACCACAUUGGACACAGUAGAUGUUAAUUCAAAUGAUCCAACGGUUGAAUUGGGCAGCGUCAAGACUGUUAAUCAAGAUCCUGAGCCUCUGUUUCCUGGAUCUGAGGAUAGAGACACCAGGUUUGAUUCCUGUGACAAACAGGUUGACAGCUCUGAUGUGAAAACGGGAGAUAAGGUGGUUUCUGGCUCUGAGGAGCUUUUCCCAGAUGUCCUCAUGAGUGAAGAUGACAGACAGGCAGCCAAAAAAUUCCAAGAAUUAAAUCAGAGCAGCAAACUGUUUGAGGGUGACGAAGUUGUCGAUCUAACUGAAACAGGUCAAACCACCUCACACCUCGAGACAAGUGAUAAAAAAUGUGACGUGUUGACCGAGCGCUGUGACGACUCCACAUGUGUAAAGACAACCAUCACGCUUCACUCCGAGGACUCGAGUCUCAGUCCUCCCACACAGCUGUGUCCUGUUACCUCCACUCCACCUCCCUUUGAACAGGUCCAGGACAGUUUCCCUGCUGUCCUGAUGUGUGAGUGUGAAGAACAACAACUAGAGACAGUUGCUCUGACUCAGAUUUGCCCCCUCUCAAUGCAAAUUCAGCAUAAAUCUGCAGAUGAUUUGACACAACAGUCCCACGGUCCUCAGACAUCCUCUGAGCCCCCUCAGGUAUUUACCUCCAGUGUUUGCUCUGACCGUGACGAUCCUCAAGACGCUGCUGACUGCUCAACUCAACCUGUGGAGUCAUCGCAUGAAAUUCACCUGCAGGGAAAUAACGAGGCGGAAAUGUCCCAGGAGGUGCAGCCCGCACGAGACAGAGGUGGUCUUCUACAAUCCCCCAGUAUCUCAGAGGCCCGUACUGACAGAACUUCCUUUCUGGACCGCGAUGAGGGCCACACCAGGAUCACAGUGGACCCUGGUCAGAUUGACGCUUAUGCCUCGACUCCAUCUUAUGAAAUUCACUUUCCGGGUCACGAACUGCCAUCAGCUGCUGAGGACGGAGAGAGAGAUGGAGGGAUGAGGGACAUGGUGUCCGAGCUGCUGGGAGAGGAAGCUGACUCCUCGGUUUGCCGCCUUUAUCCCGAUCCCUGGAUCAAGCUGGGCCUGGAGGAGAGCUGCAAGGGCUGGGCUCAGGGCGCGUCUCUGGCCGAGCCCAGCCAGAGUGAGAUUAAGAUGGGCUCUGAGGCAGAGCUGGUCCCAGCCUCAGUCUCAGAGCUCCAGCCCUCCAUGGCUCUGCUGGGAGCUUACCCCUACAGCACUGUGAUGCCUCAGGGAUCCUGUGUGUGGGACUGGCACACAGACUGCUCUCAGGCCGAACCCGCUGCUGCUCCCAGCCUUAACCCUCACGCUGAGGUAUGGACCAAUCACAACGUUAACUUUGACAUCUCUGGCACCGCCUACCCCCAGGAUCAGCAGCCAUGGCUUCAGUUCUCCGAUGAUCUGAGCAGUAAUGAAGGCUAUGUCCCGGAGUUCCAGCCGGAGAACAUGGGCCUGGACGAGGCUGGUGCCGAUCCGAGCACACAGGAGUACCAGACUCUGACUGCUGAAACGCCUGCCGUUAACGGAGAGUCCUGUGACUCACCUGUCAUGGGUAUGAAUCUGACUCAUGUUUUCUCUCCGAUUGUUUGU
ensembl:lncRNA